GAUGAACGCUGGCGGCGUGCCUAAUACAUGCAAGUCGAGCGAACGGACGAGAAGCUUGCUUUUCUGAUGUUAGCGGCGGACGGGUGAGUAACACGUGGGUAACCUACCUAUAAGACUGGGAUAACUUCGGGAAACCGGUGCUAAUACCGGAUAAUAUUUUGAACCGUAUGGUUCAAAAGUGAAAGACGGUCUUGCUGUCAUUUAAAGAUGGAUCCCCGCUGCAUUAGCUAGUUGGUAAGUUAACGGCCUACCAAGGGAACGAUGCAGAGCCGACCUGAGGGGGUGACCGGCCACACUGGAACUGAGACACGGUCCAGCCUCCUACGGGAGGCAGCAGUAGGGAAUCUUGGGCAAUGGGCGAAAGCCUGCCGGAGCAAGGCGGCGUGAGUGAUGAAGGUCUUCGAAUCGUAAAACUCUGUUAUUAGGAAAGAACAUAUGUGUAAGUAAAUGUGCACAUAUUGACGGUAACUAAUCAGAAAGCCACGGCUAACUACGUG
rnacentral:rRNA from 1 species